GGAGUUUGGGCAGAAGGUGAAUAACUACAGUGCUUACAGUGUAAUCAUGGUUCCUGUCAGCCCUGCUGCAGGAGAGGAGGGGGCGCCCAGCAGACUGAGCUCCUCGGUGAUGAAGUACAGGCACCGAGGAGCGCUCUACACCUGGAUAUUUAUUAACACAGGCCUGACAGUAAUGAGGCCUGAACAGGUGGGCUGGGACACACAUAUCAGAGUGAGGAGCAUCCGCCAGGAGGCAGUGGGGGAGACGGUGGAGACGAGUGGGAGAAGUUCACCCUGCAGGAAUGCAGCCCUACAGAGAGCCGAGGCUGCACACCCACUCAUAGCUACAUACACAGCUGACCUGAAACAACAAAAACAAGUACCGAGUGUUUAUUUUCUCCUCUGCUGCUCCAAAAUGUGCAUGCUACACUAUCGUAAAACUACAGAUUUUUAAAGAAUUUAAUGAGCAAUCCAAAAUAUAAGGUUUAAGGAAACUAAGCUAUUAUAAUUUAUUGUAAAUAAUUUUUCAUUUCAAUGACAAAAAACAUUUAAAUAAAAGAUGUUGAGGGGUGUGAUUUACUAGCUCACAGCUGUGGAUGUCUGGAGCAAUCUUAUCUUACCCUUUACUUUGACAGGAAAACUGUUUUUUAUUUCUCAUAUUUACAGAAAACUCCACCAUUAAAACCUAAAAAAAGAUACAGACAGCAUUUCCCUGUUUGCAUAUCUUAACAUCCUUUAAAACUGUCUGCAAUUUAGCUCAAGACUUGCUAAAGAAAGUUGCAAAGAAGAGCCGAUGAAGAAACCCAGGAAAGAGUGUGACUCAAAGUCUGCAUGUAAUCCAGAGGCUGAUAUUAAGGGAAGCUUACAGUCAUUAAAAUAAAAAUAAGUAGCUCUCAGUCCCUGUAGAGUGGACUUAGUGAAGAAAACACGUUGAUACUAGGACUGGGAAAUCAUCGAAAGAGAGGGACAUUUUGCAUCCCUCAUUAGGGUUACAGACGGAGUCAUGUUUACUGCAGGUUAAGGGCAGUAUAGUCGAGGAUGUAAUGAUUACAACUGCUGUGUUUGUGUCUCUGUAUUCGCCUCUCUCUACUGCAGUCUUCUUAUUAAGACUCUGAGUGAGGCUAAUCAUUGCUGUCAUCUCAUGCUGAACAGAUGCAGCGAACAAAGAAGAGGAGGAGGAGACCACUGCAGGCCCAAGGUGCAUCUGCGGGGGAGGAGAGGUACUGUACUGCUUCUGCUGCUGCUGCUGCCGCCGCCUGAGCUGAUGCUAGCUGAAGGCGCUCCCCGUCAAGUACCUCGCUCAGAGACUAAUGGGUGGAGAAAAGGUAGAGGGGUGACUACGUCCAACAUUUCAUGUCAAAUCCACCUUAAUAAUUUGUCAGUGCCAGCUGUGAGUGACACAAAGUGCAGGUGAAACAGCGUCUGGUGCACACCCUGAAAUGGCACAUUGGGAAAUUCAGUUAACUAAUGUGGUGGAGUCUAGAUCCAGUGUGGGGUUUGACUAAAGAGUGAGACUUGUGCUCUACAGAGAGGACAUGAGUUUGAAAAUGAUUUGGGACAGAGGGAUGGAUAAUAUUUCCACGUGAAUGCUCCCUUUUGGUCUCUGUUAUGUCUCUUUCUCUUUCAGUUCGGUGUCUUUCUUCCCAUCCCCUGUUUCUGCGUCUCUCUCAAACGGUCUCAUUCUUUUGAAAAUGAGAUCCUCAACUCGGACUGCAGACAGACUUUAAAAAACCAGAGCGGUGACUAUUAACUCAUCUCUCCAGCGGCCCUGCUGAGUCUGCUGGGACCUCGCUCUCAUUUCUUAUGCAGACACUCCUUCCUAACAGAUGACCUUGGUCUUAUCAGGACAGGUCUAGAUCCCACCAAAUGCUGCAAGACUUAAUAUUACUGUCAAGUACAUCUGCUGUAAAGGCAUGAAUAACAUUGUUCAUCUGUCAUUGUGUUCAAAUUUAGCCUCCGUGAACCACGCUGCAUUGUUGUAGUAAUGAGAAGUCAGGGAUCUCUGCCAUCUGAACAACUUCAACAAUGCUUUCAGAUAAGUCUUAUUUCAAAAUAUGUGAUAUAGCAGCUUUUGGCUAACCUACAUAGAUGCAUAUCUCCAACGAUGGACCGCAGAAAAGUCCACUGUAAGCGUAAUUGGAAAGGCGUGUACGCUACAUGAUUUUAAAUGAAUACCACACGUCCUACUUUACACAUAAGUACAAAAAAAGGCUUUCUCUUCUGCAGCGGUUUCCAUUUAUAACCCUCCAGUCAGACCAGUCACAUAAGCAUACAAUAGGCUUUAUUAGCCUCUCCCCCACACUGCUUUCUGCAAAGAGGACAGAUCUCCAAUCUGAGGAGAACAAGCAGUUCCCUUUAAAGAUCUUGUGUCUACAGCUAAUCUGGUAAACUCCCAUAAAUGCUCCUCGCACCCCAGAUGGAAGGAAUUAGCAGCUUCAGACAGUGCAGAGAGGCCCUACGCCUGUGAUAUACCUCUGAGAUUAAUUAGCUUCGAACUUUAGAUAUUAUUACAGAACCUGAGGUUGCCACAGGAAUUACCAUAUCUUUAAAUCUAUUGGACCAUUUUGUGCCAUGGAAGCAGGCAGAGAGGCGAGGCGCUGAGCCAGGCUCGGUCCUCCAUAAUGCAUGCUGGCCUCAUCCGUACUCUGACAGCACUUAAGAAACCUACAGCCAUUUGAGUGACAAAGAUCUCAUCUAUUUUUCAGUUUUGACUCUCACUGUAUGAGGGAGGAUCUUAUGUGUCAUGGAGUGUGCGUUUUCAUGUGUGUGUGUGUGUAUGUGCGGGGAUCAUGUGUGUGCAUGUGCGGAGGCAAUUAGAAAUAUGUUGUUGGACAACAGUCUUGGAUUUACUCACAAAUCAUCUCGACUCAGAGCGAGCCGGAGUGUCUCCUCCGUGUGUGAGUCACAGUUUUUAAUGAGUUCUUUUCAUGCAGUCCUCGGCUGCCUCGCUCGCCGGCGCUGCAGAUUCACUGUUUUGCUCUUACAAAUCUGUGUGUUCAAGUUUAUGUGCAGGAUAAAGGGGAAAGACGGAUACAUUCAAAGGGAGAACCUACACCUUCAAAAAAUGAAGAAAACAGACUCCCUCCUGCUUAUAUGAAAUCCGUGUCAAAUUGUUUUGUGUGUGGGCAACUCAGACUUCCAUCUCUGUCCGUGUCAGGAAGCUUAGAUUCUCUGUUUCCCCCAUUAUUCCCUCUGCUCUCUCAGAUUUUUAAACAUGUGGUAAAAAUAUGGUCAUAAAACCCGCAGAAUAAACAAAAAUUGCAUUACUGUGAGCUCAGUUACCAAAACUCUAAUUGGUAUUUGUGGCAUCAAGUAAAAGCUGCAACUUCGAUUUAAAUGUGUUGCAUGCUAGCUUCCCUUCAACAUCUCCUGACAGUGCUGCUCAGCAUGGUAAGUUUCACUCUCACAAAGAGGCGGGGCCGGAUAAGCCAUUAAUGUAGCAUUAGAGCAAACUUUUAAGCUCCCUGAGACAAGCCAUCCCUGGUAUUUGGCAACAUCUGAGGUGGGCGGCUUCUUAUUGCACAUUAAGUGCUUUUAGACACAAGAGUGGAGCAUGUGGUGAGUGAUGCAUUAGGAGACAGACUGUCGAAGAUAUGUGCUCUCUCUUGGAUGCCACUUGUAUUGAUUUCUAUGGCCUUUUAAUUUAAGGAACUCGCACUUAAGGCUGAGACGAAUGUGAGGAAAAGGCCGGCUGCAUAUUCAGCUGUUAAUGCUACAAUCAUGUUCAAUUAAAAAUGCAUGAGGUCGCAGAUUUAAAGAUAGGUCCUCUGGAUCGGCUUGUGUUUGCUCGACGUUUAAUAAAAGGAUUGGUGAGAAACAUAAACGCAAAAUGUAAAAGAAUGCUUCCAAUGAUUAUCAAGCACCUUCCAGAAACUCAAAGACCGUGAAUGAGACAGAGCAGGGACAAUUAAACCCUCAGAGACUCCGACUGACAAAGCAAGUAGAUGCAGCUCAUCACUGAGCGUCUGACCUUGCUUAACAGCCUUGAAAAGCACAGGUGACCACUCUGCUGCUCGAUAACUUUCCCCCGGCUGCAAGUGCUAAGUGAAAUUGCUGUUUUCAGCCAUGGAGAUGUUAGGCUUCAGGUUGACGGCAUGCAGGGAGAAAAGAGGGAGGAGUGCAAGGUAACUGUGUCUGUUGAGCAGGGCGAGGGCACCCUGGAGUCAAGCUCAUUAACCUCAGCGAGGGAAAUGUUACAAUGAGACAGAAGAUAUGCAUGGCACCGGGUCACAUCCUGAAGUGCUGCUUCUUGUAAAACCUGAACCUUCCCCGACUGACACAGCAGCAGCAGUAUUUCAUAUAUUAAAGGAUUUUUUUUUCCCCUCUGAAGCAGUGGGAUGGUGUUUGAGAGGAGAAUAGGGAGCUGCAUAUGAUAAGUAGAUUUAAAUAUUCAAAUGCAAGCAGGGCAAAUGUGAUGGAGUAUACAUCAUUAUUCUACUACCAAGGCCUUUCAGUAUAUCUUCAUUUAUAAUGCUCUCCAUAUAGUCAUCUACAAUCCUGACCUGUUCAAACAAAGCCUUUAUCCCAGACAGACACAAUCAAAGUGAUGGGUAAACACAUACGCUACGUCUAUCUUGCCUAUUAAUCUGAGCAUCCAGCUGUGAGGAGGGCUUUGCUGUCCUAUCUUUCCUCUGGUCCACACUGGAGCCCCUUUGGUAUGGCUCCACCAUGUUUGGAUUUCAUUGAGAGCCCCGGAUCGUUUCUGUGCAACACAGAUCAGAGCACAUUGUUAGAUGGACUGUGGCUGUUUCUGGGAAUAUUUUGGUGCCGCACGUUUGUAGAUCAAGAAUAUGGCCAUGUUGACUUUUAGGUCGGCUAACAGUUUAACUCCUUGCAUAGUUAUAGGGUGAUUGAACAUAGAGAUAGAUAAGAUCAGGCAUGAUUGGCAGGUAAUCCCAUGUCACCCAGAGGUAUGAUACAUUGUGAAAUAGUCAACAAUAUAAUCUGCAGGAGUCAUGCACACAUACUAAGACUACAUUUGCACGUGCCCAGCUAUUUUCACAAAUGGAUUUUUUCACCCUCUCCGAUUACAAAAACAACUGCGUGCACACCACUACGUUUUCAGAGGAGUUUCCAUUUACACUAACCCAUGGAUAUAUGCCAUCAAGAGCAUGCCAAACCUGUAGGUGGCAGUGUAGCAAGAAGCUCAAGCCCAUGUUAGCAAAUCAGAAGCCCACCUAGCUCCAACAACAAAGUCACUUCCGUCUUUUAGAAAAGAUGCAAAGCAAACAAAUACAAAGGGAUUGCACCAGCAUAAAUGCGACUGCUAUUCUGCAUGCAUCCAUGAGCACCAUAGAUUGUAAACAUAGACUGUAGAUUGGAAACAACGUCGUAUUUAACCCAGUUUCCGGUGAACAAUCUGCCGUCGGCUACCCAAAUCUCCGUUUGUGCAAACAGAGUUUUCCAAAAUCUCCACUCUGGCCGGAGUUUUUAAAAAGCAUAGUUCCCAGGGGCGAAUUCUUCAUUUGCAUCUAAACAAAGCGUGCAAAAAACGGUUAAUGUCUCCUUAACAUUGGUGUCCUUAUGUAUUCUGGUCAGCUGAUGUCAAAGUUUCUUAUGAGAGGCACUGACUAUACAUCUAUUUAAAACAGGCUGGGAUCAAAUACAUGCUGUCCUUUUAUGUCCAUGUACUUGAAAGUCUAGAUGAGCAUUUGUGAGUUUCAUAAAAUGCUGAGAACCGUGUCACAGACAACGAGACACUCCAACAAUAAAAAUGUGCAGCAACGCAUUGAAUGGCAAUGGCUAAAGUGAAGUUGCAAUCAUCAAAACUAGAUCAGCGAGCUAUACUGCUCAUGCAAGUUAGACCCCAAAACAGCACUGAGUAGGGUGACCAUAUUCUGAAUCCCCAAAAAGAGGGCACGACUAUGCAGGGGCGGAGUCACUGAGUCACUGAGUCACGCAUAGUUAAUUUUGAGAGUUUUCUGGGUUGGAUCGAGUGUUUGUUAUGUGCUUCUAACUCAGCGAGUCCAUUCGACACAAACUCAAAACUUCCAUACAAACCCCGGACAUUUGAAGGAUUUUAUAAACUCCCCCGGACAAGACCUGACAGCCCCCCAAAAAGAGGACAUGUCCGGGUAAAAGAGGACAUAUAGACACCCUAGCACUGAGGGCUCAGGAGCUCUUGAGUGCUAUUCUUAGUAAACUAGCCAAAAGGAAACAAGUUAGCCUAGUGCUGGUCCGAGUUUCUAGUAUCUGAGCAAAGUAGAGGGACAGGAAUUGAGGUUGUGAAGGGAGAAACAGUGCGGCAAUAUACACUCAGUGAGACUUUCUUCAAUUCAACAUAAAUUUAAAGCAAAAAUCUGUCCAAAGCUGUAUUUAAUUUUUUUAGUAGGAAAAAAAAAAGCAAAAAAUUGAUGCAACAUUCAAUUUGACCAAAGCUGAGGAUGCAGAUGUCUGUACAAAUCCUUUUUAAAACCACAGUAGACGUGAAUAAAAUAAUGUUUCAAGCUCUCAGUGAUUUAGCACAUUUCUGAACUGUCACACAAAUAUCUGACAAGAGUUGCCAGCUGACAUUUCGGACAACUUAAGCUGUCACACGCAGUAAAUCUACCUCUAAAUAGUGCUUCAUAGCCGAUAGUCCAGUAUGCUAUUUCUCUCCUUCAGCUGGACUGAACCUCUUAACAGGUGGUCACUUCUAACAACAAUGGUCAGAAACUGCAAGCAUGAAAGGUGGGAAGUGAAUGCUGUCAGAGUUAAAACUUUGUUGUCUGUCAAACUUAAAAGCUCAUAAAAGUAAGUCCCUCAAAUGUGCUUCGAAAAAGAACAAUAUUAAGAGUCAAGGCAAAACGCACAAGGUCGACGGUUAUUUUGUGGCAUGUCCUGAAUGUUUUAUUUGUUUGUGUUUUCAACUUUAGGCCUGAUAUGAUUAUAAAUUAUGAACCUUGAUAUAUUCUGACGUGGAUUACAAACAUAAUUUCCCCAGAAUGUGUGGAAAAAACUGAGAGAGGAGACGAGUAAGGCCUGUAACUCUGCAGGUGAAUAUUCCCUGACAUUUCAUCUGCAGUGGUAUUAAGGUGGGGUGCGACGCUGGCCAUGCGGGUAGGGGGCUGGUUGAAGCAUGAAAUUCAUUGUCAAAUACUUUUUACAGUUUCGGAGGGAAAAAUAGAUGAGGGGAAAAUAACAGCAAAAAAUGACUCUCUGGCAUGAAUAAUGUGAGAAUACUUAUUUAAAACACACGAUAUUAAAUGCCUCGGAUUGUGACAUUCACUUUUUAACGCAACUACGAAGUCCAAUUGAAAUUCAUCAUGUCAUUUAAGAUGGCUUAAUUCAUAGAAAAUAUAGGUGCAUUAAUAGAAUAUAGCAGAAAUCCUAUUACUCUUUUGAAUCUUGUGUGAAAUGCAUAAAUUGCAAAUAGGGCGGUGUUGGUAGGAUGUGCGACAGAGCUGUUAAUGAAGGGCUCUGAUUAGCAUUUGUUAAAACUCAGUGAAGUUCUUACAUGCAAAAGGUCAGACGGCUGAUCUGACAUGCGGAGAUGAAAACGUUCUACUUUUUGGGUGGAAUGUCAUGAUUUGAAUUAAGAUUGUCAGAUUGGCUGUAAGCUCGUAUCACAGUGCAGGCGUCUUGUAUGACCUUUUCAAGGAAUUGUCAUUUUCCGCCCCUGUGAUGCCACUACGGCUCAGCAGGGGAGAGGGCCCCUCUUCUCUCGCCAUGUAAUUUGUCUGAGGUGUUACCAUUCACACUGCACAACUCCCAGCCACUCACCCAAACGCCUGUAUAUCUGCAGACCAGCAGGCUGCGACUGCAGAAUAACCAGAAUGCAGCCGGUCAGGUUCUACUCCAUGCUUCAUGUACAGCAGGAAAGGCCUCUGCUGUGUGCUGCUGUCGGCCUGAGCAUCAGACACUCACAACCCUGCACGGCUCCAGCACUGCAGCAGCAGCAGCCAAUGAUCUACAGCAAAUAUGAUUGCAAUACUACCUACACCCACUGCGGCAGCUACACUCAUGAGCGAUCAAGCACUGAUGCCAGCUGUUCAAGUUGCUGUAAACUAUUCUAAUGCUCACAACUCUUUUUUUUAUAACGGACAAUAUCACAACAAUCACAAGCAGGAAAACAUUGUGUAAGUGUGGUUCUUGUACUGUGCACAACAGCGUCUAAACUAUGACGAUAUUAGAGCAAAAGGAUAAUACUUAUUUAAAAAUGAGCUUUUAAUGAUAUAACUGUAAUUACCUUAACCUGAGUGAGUUUAGGUUAAAUGGAAAAGCAAAAAAUUGUUGUCAUCAUCAUGUUGUUCCAUGGCGGUCCCUUAUGGAUUACUGAAGGUCUAAGUGAAACUAUCUGGAGGGAAACAGAGGUUUAGAAGGUCCCAGACUGAAUUGACUGGUGAUGAGAAAUACUUUUUAAGAAGUACAAGGACACAUAUUUCUUUAUUGUUGUUGUUGGUGGUUUUUUUCUUCUUUGUUUCCCUUUUUUCUCCUGUUUUAUCUGUUUCUUGUUAUUUUCUACCUUAUUUGAAUUUUGCUUAUUAAUUAUUACUAUUAAUUCCCUGGAUCAGACCACUGCUUGAUGAUGUAUACUUCCAUUUAAAUUCUGAAAAUAAAAUCUGGUUAUUAGAAAAAAGAGAAAAAAAUCAUUGCAUGUUUCAUAGCAUGUAUCGUAGCAUAUCCUAAAAUGCAACAGACAUCCAAGUCAACAUGGUAAGAAAUAGGAAAUAUCUCAUUAGUUUAUUGAAAGUCUGAACACAGCAGUUACUGUAUCUGUAACAACAUUUGGAUAACAAUUAUAGGACGCCUAUCUCUAUAACACAUCAUAUAUAUGUAUAAUGCAUUAUAAUCAUGUUAUAGCACUGUAUAACUAUAUUUAUAAACACCCAUAAAUGAUCAGAAUGCUUUAACACAAUAACCAUAAUACAUUAUAAAGUAUUUUAUCAUGACUUACAAGGUCAGGUAUUAUAAUGUGUUAUAACUGUUAACAACAGUUGCAUUGCAUUAUCUAUGUGGGCAUUGUCAGUGAGUUGUUAACAGUUAUAACACAUUAUAAUACCUGACCUUGUAAGUCAUGAUAAAUUGCUUUAUAAUGUGUCAUGAUUAUUGCUAUAAAGCAUCAUGAUCAUUUAUGAGUGUUUAUAACUAUAGUUAUACAGUGCUAUAAUGUGAUUAUAACGCAUUAUACAUGUAUUUAUAAUGCAUUAUAGAGAUAGGCGUCAAAUAAAGUGUUACCAAAAUGUGCAGAAAAACUCAAAUUUUCACAGAAAUAUCAAGUUGCCUCUAAAGAAAAAUGACUGGAUUACCAGUUGAGCAAAUUGGGCAUCGAUCCAAGGGGCCUCGGACCUAAGGGGACCCAUAGGAGCCGUGAUUCGGUUCAUAAAUCAGAGAACUGCAGCGCUAAAGUACAACACAAACUAAUCCAGAUUAUUCUUGAUGGCUAAUAUUUUGAAUUAUCACUGUUGUUAACGUGUACAUUCAGUGGUAAAUGGCAGCGAACAGUAGGGGCUAAACUGUAAAUAUCUAACCUCAAAGACUUCACUAAUGAUUCCAGCCAAAUUAAAUUAUAUUGUUUGAUAAAAAGAGAACAGAAAGCAAAAUACUAUCACUCUCAAUAUAAAAAAGUCAAUAACUUACCAUGAAUCAUGCUGCAGUGUCAUAAAGAUAUUAAAAUAUGAAUGAAACAUGAGGAAAUGAUAAACAAUGUCGGCAAAAAGAGUAAAUAAAAGCAAAACGUGUCUACGACCUGUUAAGAAACCCUUCAAAUCCUCUGUCCUGCAUACAGACUUUGGGGUCCACACAUUAAACUGUUGUGACACAAGUUGUGAAGUCUUGUCAUGUGAGUUUUGCACCUAAAAUGAAGACCAUGCAGCAUAGCAGCCCUGUAGCUGAUGUGGCACUGCUGCCCUUUCACAGCUAAUUGGUCGCUGUGUGCUCAUCAUCUGGUUAUCAGCAGUGAUUGGCUGAUGGUAAGCUGCAACUGGUCAUUCGAGUGUCACUCGCCUGUGUUCCUGUAAUUAAAAUCUGUCAUCCAGAACCACAUCCCUCGUCGCCACUAAACCCUUUCGUCAGAUGGCAGAGCUCAGAUAAAAACAGCCCUGCAGUUAUUUCUCUGAUGGAAGAAUGGCACGUUUGUGUCACAAAAUUUAGGAGACAGAGAAAAUGCUUAAGAUUAUCUCCCAAAUUUCCUGAAGGUUAUUGAGUCGAGUAAAUAAGCAAAGUGUAUACGAACAAUCACAUUAUGAAAGGCUGAAAACGAAAUGAUAUAAAAUGGAAUAAAAGGGAGUAUUAACCUGUUUUAAAAAGUUCCCAAACUAAAGAGUUUGCCUGCUCAUGUGUGGCCAAUAAAAUGGUUAAUGUCUUUUUACUGUAGCUGUAAAACUUUUAACAGUGAAGUGUUCUAUCGAUGACAGAAAAAGUAGAGCCACUGCAGAUAAUGUAGUGGAAGAGAGGAGGAAGCAAGAGAUACUUGAUAUUUUUAAUGAUGCUGAACAUUUGUUCAGGGCUUUAACUACUGGAGGGCACUCCACGCUGAAGUUUUCCACCAGGCUGGCCUUCAGAAACAUGAACAACAGAAAUCUUUGGAAAAUUAAUUAGAGACAAAUCCCUUCUCGCUGCUGAAGUGUGGCAUUUAAGGCAUUGUCCUUGGUGCUCGUAUAACACCACCUUUCAGUGUCGACCCCGCUCCUUCCACCACGGCGGGAUAAUGCAGCCUAAUCCACAUUAGCAAUCACUCUGGUCCCUGUUGUGUAGUGGCAGUCCUUCCUAAUUGCUUGGCAUUAUUAGGUACUUUACUUGUAAAUUUGAAGAGGAGGAACAUCAUUCUACUGCAUCCAAGCAGCAAAUGAUCCAAUUUGCUUAAUUUCCAAGAAACACCAGCAGUCUGUUUUCCUCUCACUGCUCCCCCUAUUGUUAGGUGAAGGGAAUAAAGAGGAGUAUAGGGAGAAGAAGUCAGAGGUGUGUGUGUUUGGAUGUGGCUUUCACUUGAUAAUUAUCUGAAAAUAUUCAGUCGUGGGAGGAUUUACGUAUGUAUCUGUACAAACAAACAAUAAUCGUAUAUUUAGAGUCAGGGCAAUAAGCAGCAACAGUUUCAUCACAUCUGUCAGGCCUCCAUAGUCUGACUGAAAUCCGCUUGUAUUCAAAUGAAGCGGUGUCAUCGUAAAGAAAACCCAAAGGAAGAAGAAGAAGAAGAAGGAGACGUAGCUUUGAUCUAAUAUGAUGACUAUCCUUCAGCACAGCAGAGUUGUUUACUAAAUUGAGGAAUGACAUUUAUUUAUAAAUGGAGCAAGCACAUAAUGCAUCAACAUCCAGACAGGCACAGCCCCUAAGACUCCCACACUGAUGAUUUUCUAAUGCUGAAGCUUUAGAUCUUUAAAAUGUAAACAUCUGAGUGACCUGAUCUGAAACUCAAACAUAGGACUGAAGGGAAAUCGUGCCGUUUCUCUCUCUCUCUCUACCUCGGUUAUGCUCCCGUUUUUAAGUUUUAGUCACUUUCUCUGCCUGUGUGUUUCACUUUUAAAGAGAUUUACAUAUGAGUUGUUGGCUGCUGGUAUUUCUUUAUUUCUCUGUCUGCAUUAAGGGCUGCAUGAAGCGCAAUCCGGCUCAUCUCCCCCUCUGCCUGUCAGUCAGCAAGAUGGCCAACGUCCCUGGAACGCAUGUGUAAGGAAAAGAGGGGGGUGGAAGAGAAAAGUUGACGUGGCCCUAGGCAUGCCGGUACACACCAACCGGGAACGAACAAGGCAGACAUGACAGCCUGAUGACACUUGCUUUUGUGUAUCGUAUCAUUUUACCAAUCAUCUGCAUUUCAUUUAUGUGAGCCUCGGUACUCCGACGCAGAAGUGUCAAGCCUGCUGGCCUAGUUAGGUUGAGAGUGAAGUUGGUGAGCUGAUGAAACCCUCCUGUCCGUGGUCCUUCUGACAGCCGCGACACUCCAAAUGAAAGCAGAAAGGCAGCCUUAUUACAACAGUACCAUUCAUACAGCAAAUGGGAAAACAAAUGUGACUUGAUAUCCCAGGAUGCCCUCUGUUGUUGCUGUUAUUGCUGCUGUUGUUAUUGUCAAUAAUGGUGAUGAUAAUGCCUGGUGCUUUGUUGCGCUGCUCUCUUUUGUUGUCUUUUUGUUCUAUCCAAACAGGGUUUUGUUGGCAGAAGAGCUGCUGCAGCUGGAAGGAGCAAAUUUCUCACGUUGAGCUCUGCCCUUUGUUAUUGUGACGCUCGCUUUUUAAAUUUUUUAAACUUCAGAUGAAAAAUGGAGCUCCAAAGUUCAUCUAGCUUUUAACAAUGCGGUAAACAAGAGAGCCGUGUUACAUAAUCCCGACUGAGAGCGUGAAGUUUGGGAUGCAUUUGGAUUCGACUCUUACGCAGAACAACUCAUUAUAAACAUCUUGAUCUUGAGUGCAUCAAAUACGAGACAUUGAUGGAUCCCUUGUUUUUGCAUUAUUUAUGACUGGCGCUCUUUUUCACGAGGGUUUCAGGAAUAUUUACCGUCAGUCUACAUGUAUUGAUCACAUCAAUAAGUAAAUGGCAUCCACAAGUCCAUCAUUAUUAAAUCUCGUCCGCACACGUGUCCUCAGAUAAGAGCUCUAAUCUCGGUUGGCUUAAAUUUCACGCUCGCAUAUUUCCUGGACCGCAGACAAACCUGGCUUUAACGUAGUUAUUUACAUAUUUUAUAGGAGUUUUUUAAGUGCUGACACAAAUUCGUCUUGUUCUGUUAUAGAUUAGCAAUUAGGCUCUCUUCCAUCCUUUGUUGGCACUACUGUCAGCCUUCCGAAGAGACAAAAACCCUCAGAGACGCAGAUUUAAAAGCUCUUCGUGUAAAAACAGUAGGAGAACUCUGUCUGGAAAAAAAAGCCUAAAUACAGAAAUGAAUAAAUAAAUACAUUAAAAUGUGGGCACUGUUCUCAUUUUGCAGCCUGGAUGCAGUCUUGUCAAACAGCACUUAAAAGCGAGGGAGCUGGUCUUGGGGGAGGUUGAGAUGUUUAUUCUAAUGGAUGCCAUAAUGAAUGCUUACAGAGUCAGGCCUUGGCUUCGAUAGGGGGCUCUGUGCCAGCGCGGUUUUAAAGCAGAGCAGUCACUCCACAGCAGCCCUGGGCGCUUGGCACGCCGAGUUCUCCACAAUCUCUCGGCACACACAGAAAAUGGCAGCAAGGACCUGGAGAUAACCAGCCGUGAAAUCUCUCAUCACAUGCCUUUGAUUACUUGUCCACUAUUUACUGUUUUUUAAACCCUGAACUUCAAACACAGCAAAUAAAAACACAAUUCCUGUGACAUUGCCUUCCUCACAGGCCAUGUUUAUGGAGGAUGCAUUUUGGAAAAUUGUCCAAAUGUCGUGUUGUCUCUCAAGUAAGACUUUCUGGAAGCAAAAGGGGAAAAAAAUGUAAAUAAAAUGCUGGAGUGUUGUUCAAGUAUCCAAUCCUUCCACUGUUUUAUGGAGGCAAACAAAUAUUUAGUAGAAUUUUGACAUGAAAAGCAGCACUAUGCCGAUUUUUACCACUGUGUGUCUAUUUUUCUAGAUUAAACAGAGCCUACAGUAUGUUCUGCACAAUUUGUAUAGUCAACGAACGUGUUCCUGUGCGUGCGUUUGUGUGUGUGUGUGCCUGCUGGGGGUGAAGACUGAAGCGCUUUAUUAAAAUGAUGAGAGCAAGUUCAAUUUGAAUCAUGCAGUGCCUGUCAGUGGCUUCUCGAAUUGCAGCACUGAUGAAAUUGCUCUUGCCGUUAUUUAAAAGCAGUUGUAAUCCAUCUGAAAAUGCUGUGAUAUAAUCCAUUUAAUUUCUUAUUCCUUGCAGCAAUAACAUUGAGUAACAAAAAUCUAUCAAAGCAAUGUAGCCUGGUGAUUCAGUAAUUAUCUUUAUUUUACAUUACUGCAAUUCAGCCCAAAUUAAUUGGAGUCUUAUCUGAACAGAGCGGCAGGUCACUUACCUCAAUGCAACACAAUGAGGUUUUAUCUUAAUCAUCAACCUCCACAAACCCAAUUGUGACCCGCUGUGCCAAGAAAUGAUUAUUUUCUGUUGCAUAAAAUCAGCAAUUUAUACUCAAACCUAAUGAAACUGACAGCUAUGAAAGGGUCUCCAGCUGAUUCUUUCAAAUACAUAAAAGUGUUCAACUAAAAACAAAAAGUAUACCGCUGAUCUAAACAAAUGAAAUAAAAUAAAAAAACAAUACCCAUGAGAGAGGGAAGAGGAUGUAUCGAACAGGAAGUACGGUGGAGUGAUUCGUGUUUGGGAGAACCCACCAAAUAUCCAGUAUUGAUCAUCUGUUUAAGUUGAGUUAAUGUAUGAGCGAUGCUCGAUGUAUCCCCUAAUGGGUAUGCUGCCUCCAGGCAGUUCUGGUAAUAAGACCUCAGACAGCCAUAUAACUCAGCCUGUCUCCAAGAACACUUCUUUUCUUUCACCUGGCCUAUCUGACAUUCGAUAUUAGCCAAAUAACCAGCCCUCUGGACAGAGGAAGUCGAGGAAUACAGCAGAGAAAAGGAAGUCAGGCAAGCCCUGUUACAGCUACAGGGACUGAAGGAGAAGAUUGGAGAACUUAUGUUUCAUAGCAGAGGACAUGCAUUGACAAAAGAUUAUAAGAUUUUACAUUUACUUUAUCCAAUAUUACAGUCUUUAGUUUUUUGCACUUCAUAACUAAUUUAAAACACUCUUUUUUUUGUGAUUUAGACCUAGUUCUGAAAUAUUAUAUAACUUUUUUUGGCCAAAUUUCAACAUUUAAAUGUCAACAUCUUCAAAAGUUUUGUGUUUUAUGUAUGGUUUGCAAACUUGAAAGACUUAACAGGACAUAGAAGAUGCCAAUUCAUACGUUUGAUGUGACAUCCUCAGCCUGGAAAACAUGGACGUGGUAACAUCACCCACUUGUUUCUGAAGCAGAUUUUUAAAGCCUAUAGACAGCUGUAGCCAUCUUGGAAAUGCUGAAUCGACUAAACUUUUGGUUGACCUACGAGGGGGGCAAAGAGGUGGAGCUAUAGUUGGCCUUUAGCCUCCUUGCCAACAGCCCUAACAAUGCAAAACUCCUAACCUAGAUAUAUGAGAUAAAUAAUGAGAUAUGGAAAAGUCAGUGUCCAUGCAGUGUGCAGAUAGAAAAAGGGCUAUUAAGACCAAAAAUGGAUUUUUGUACCAGGUUGCAAACUUGUUUAACUUUGUAGUAAAGAUUGCCUGAUUUGAAUGGAUAUGUAUUUGGCUUCCAGUGUUUGGCAGUAAGCCUCCAGUGGACACUUGAGGAACUACAGUCUUUUAGCAACUAUGAAAGGCUGGUGGUUAGAUGAAGUAAACAGUAAUCCAUAAAAACCCACAGGAAGUGCGCAUGUUGCAACCUGUCAGUGCAUCAUACUAUAGAGCAGAUCUGUGUCUGUUUUAAUCAAUGCUUGUGUUUCCACAGGGAGCGUCAUGGCAUGUCUCAGCUCUGUGUCAGAAGUGUCUCUUCCUACGCUCCACCAAAGAUAGAGUCUAUUUUUCAAUGGAGCCCACAACCAGCAUGCAUGAAGCUGAACAGGAAAGAUCAACCCGGACAGGACAUCAAACAUAGGAUGGCAGAUACCAUCUGGUUCAUUUCAGAGUAAAAAUAAAACAUGGACUCUUCAACCAAAAAUCAGAUAGUAAAGAUAAGAGAUUCUCAUUGACGAUCAAAACAAAGCCACAUGUUCUUGACCCAUGUUGGCUUCAACAGGAUUAUUAGCAAUAUUCUUUAACAGAUAUGCGCUCAUAUUGCACUAUUAUUAUCAGUUGUUUCAAAUCAGUAUGGUAUUCAACCUUUGUCAACAAGUCAGUAUUUAGUAGCAUGUAGUAUUGAGCCUUGACUAAAAUGCCAAGCAUCAGUUAAUCCUACUUUUUGGUCUCAGAGCAAGUGAACACACCACUCAGAAGGCUUCCUUUUCCACUCAGAGGCUUGGACCCUCUGAGGAGCACAUGAAUGCAGCAUAGUUUUUAACUCUUGGGUCAAAUGUCAUAGUCAAUGUGUAAAAGACAGACGACCAACAUGCUUCCAUUUCUCUGCAGAGUUGGAAGUGAAAUGCUAUUGAACUUCAGAAGUUUUAGGAUUUGGGUUUAGGUCUUCUCCACCUAUUACAUCUUGCUUGCUGUUUUACAUGUGUAACUCUCAGCAGAGAUGUAGAUAUUUUGGUUUCAAGAUAACAGGGUGACCAUAUUCUGAAUCCCCAAAGAGAGGACAUAACUACGUGGGGGCGGAGUCACGGAGUCGCACGUUGUUAAUUUUAAGAGUUUUUCAGGUCGGGUAGAGU